rnacentral:rRNA from 1 species
AGAGCGAACGCUGGCGGCAUGCUUAACACAUGCAAGUCGCACGGGCAGCAAUGUCAGUGGCGGACGGGUGAGUAACGCGUAGGUAUCUAUCCAUGGGUGGGGGGAUAACGCCGGGAAACUGGUGCUAAUACCGCAUGACACCUGAGGGUCAAAGGCGCAAGUCGCCUGUGGAGGAGCCUUCGUCCGAUUAGCUAGUUGGUGGGGUAAAGGCCUACCAAGGCGACGAUCGGUAGCUGGUCUGAGAGGAUGAUCAGCCACAUUGGGACUGAGACACGGCCCAAACUCCUACGGGAGGCAGCAGUGGGGAAUAUUGGACAAUGGGCGAAAGCCUGAUCCAGCAAUGCCGCGUGGAUGAAGAAGGUUUUCGGAUUUGUAAAGUCCGUUUCGGCGGGGACGAUGAUGACGGUACCCGCAGAGAAGCCCCGGCUAACUCGUGCCAGCAGCCGC